GCCUGGGUGGCUCAGUCGGUUGAGUAUCCCACUUUGGCUCAGGUCAUGAUCUCAUCGUUUGUGGGUUCAAGCCCCGCCUCGGGCU
rnacentral:tRNA from 1 species